GAACUUGCUCCGGCAGUACAAAUACUAAGAUUGGAACGAUACAGAGAAGAUUAGUAUAGCACGUGCGCAAGGAUGACACGCAAAUCCGUGAAGCGUUACAAAUUUUU